GGGGGAUAACGCAGCGAAAGUUGCGCUAAUACCGCAUACGAUCUAAGGAUGAAAGCAGGGGACCGCAAGGCCUUGUGCUCCUGGAGCGGCCGAUAUCUGAUUAGCUAGUUGGUGAGGUAAUGGCUCACCAAGGCGACGAUCAGUAGCUGGUCUGAGAGGACGACCAGCCACACUGGAACUGAGACACGGUCCAGACUCCUACGGGAGGCAGCAGUGGGGAAUUUUGGACAAUGGGCGCAAGCCUGAUCCAGCAAUGCCGCGUGAGUGAAGAAGGCCUUCGGGUUGUAAAGCUCUUUUGUCAGGGAAGAAACGGCGCCGGCUAAUAUCCGGCGCUAAUGACGGUACCUGAAGAAUAAGCACCGGCUAACUACGUGCCAGCAGCCGCGGUAAUACGUAGGGUGCAAGCGUUAAUCGGAAUUACUGGGCGUAAAGCGUGCGCAGGCGGUUUUGUAAGUCUGACGUGAAAUCCCCGGGCUUAACCUGGGAAUUGCGUUGGAGACUGCAAGGCUAGAAUCUGGCAGAGGGGGGUAGAAUUCCACGUGUAGCAGUGAAAUGCGUAGAGAUGUGGAGGAACACCGAUGGCGAAGCAGCCCCCUGGGUCAAGAUUGACGCUCAUGCACGAAAGCGUGGGGAGCAAACAGGAUUAGAUACCCUGGUAGUCCACGCCCUAAACGAUGUCUACUAGUUGUCGGGUCUUAAUUGACUUGGUAACGCAGCUAACGCGUGAAGUAGACCGCCUGGGGAGUACGGUCGCAAGAUUAAAACUCAAAGGAAUUGAGGGGACCCGCACAAGCGGUGGAUGAUGUGGAUUAAUUCGAUGCAACGCGAAAACUUACCUACCCUUGACAUGGCAGGAAUCCCGGAA
rnacentral:rRNA from 1 species